rnacentral:rRNA from 1 species
GAUCUCUGGGCUCAAGAAUUUGGCCGGCCACGGUUUCGUGUGUUAGUGCUUUGUUCUGUGUCCAUCCUUCCAAUUGCUAUUGGCUAUUCUUCAUUGAUUAGUCAGUAGUAUUGGAUCUUUUACUUUGAAAAAAUUAGAGUGUUUCAAGCAGGCUUUAUGCUAUGAAUACAUUAGCAUGGAAUAAUAAUUUAGGACUUCUGUUCUAUUUUGUUGGUUUCUAGGACUGAAGUAAUGAUUGAUAGGGAUAGUUGGGGGUGCUAGUAUUCAGUGGCCAGAGGUGAAAUUCUUGGAUUCACUGAAGACUAACUACUGCGAAAGCAUU